UACUAGAGAAGUAGAAGUCAU
ensembl:piRNA 21ur-5858 ncRNA